rnacentral:rRNA from 1 species
UACGAAGGGGGCUAGCGUUGUUCGGAUUUACUGGGCGUAAAGCGCACGUAGGCGGAUCGUUAAGUCGGGGGUGAAGUCCUGGAGCUCAACUCCAGAACUGCCUUCGAUACUGGCGAUCUUGAGUCCGGAAGAGGUGAGUGGAACUCCUAGUGUAGAGGUGGAAUUCGUAGAUAUUAGGAAGAACACCAGUGGCGAAGGCGGCUCACUGGUCCGGUACUGACGCUGAGGUGCGAAAGCGUGGGGAGCAAACAGG